UAUAAAUCACAGCCAGCAUUGUUGGAGUAUUCCCAGCCUUGUCAGCCUCUCUGGCUAACGCAGGUCGUUUCUCCAUAAUUUCUUUAGCAACAUCUGGAAACAAAUCAAAACAUGAACGAUGGUUAAUGAUUUGUAAUGGUUACAUAUACAAUACUAUUAGAUCGUGGUCAACUACACUAGCUUUGGCUGCAGCAUGCAGAGCAUUGCGGCUAUUCUUUC